rnacentral:tmRNA from 1 species
GGGGAUGUAAGGUUUCGACAAGGAUGUUGGACUGGUGAAAGCGGGUCGAGGACUGAUACGAUUGCUCGAAAAAACAGAUGUAUCGAAAAAUAAUCGCUAAAACCGAUUACAAAGCUUUACCGCUAGCUGCGUAAAGCCGCUUCUGAAGUAACUCACCUUCAGGUCUUGAGAGGCGCCGCUUAUGAAGGUAAGUUGGGAUUCACUCCGAUAAAAUUCCAACUGAUUAAUCGGAUAGAAAUCGAAUGGUUUGUUUGUUCGAAGUUCGAUUUCGAAAGACUCGCAAAUAAACUGCACCCGGAGAACAGCUAGAAAGGCUUCCUUGGAUCCGAGUUCAAUUCUCGGCAUCUCCACAA